CGCAAUGGGCGGAAGCCUGACGCAGCGACGCCGCGUGAGGGAUGACGGCCUUCGGGUUGUAAACCUCUUUCAGCUCUGACGAAGCGAGAGUGACGGUAGGAGCAGAAGAAGCACCGGCCAACUACGUGCCAGCAGCCGCGGUAAUACGUAGGGUGCAAGCGUUGUCCGGAAUUAUUGGGCGUAAAGAGCUCGUAGGCGGUUUGUCGCGUCGAAUGUGAAAACCCGGGGCUCAACCCCGGGCCUGCAUUCGAUACGGGCAGACUAGAGUUCGGUAGGGGAGUCUGGAAUUCCUGGUGUAGCGGUGAAAUGCGCAGAUAUCAGGAGGAACACCGGUGGCGAAGGCGGGACUCUGGGCCGAUACUGACGCUGAGGAGCGAAAGCGUGGGGAGCGAACAGGAUUAGAUACCCUGGUAGUCCACGCCGUAAACGUUGGGCGCUAGGUGUGGGGGUCCUUCCACGACCUCCGUGCCGCAGCUAACGCAUUAAGCGCCCCGCCUGGGGAGUACGGCCGCAAGGCUA
rnacentral:rRNA from 1 species